rnacentral:misc_RNA from 1 species
UUUCCGUAGGUGAACCUGCGGAAGGAUCAUUCCUAAUACAGUGUUUUAUGGCACUUUUUAAAAAUCCAUAUCCACCUUGUGUGCAAUGUUAGAUCUCGUCAAUCUUGGCGAGAUUUUUAUACAUCAACUCAUUCUUUAACUAAUUUGUCUGAAAAAUAUUAUGAAUACUUAAUACAAAAUACAACUUUCAACAACGGAUCUCUUGGCUCUC